UAUAACGCGAGAGCGACGUGCAAGUAUAAGAAAAACAAUAAUUUCACUUUCGAUAUUUCUCGCGUCGAUUUGUACUUGUUGUAUAAUUCACAGCUGAUAAAUAAGAUCCUUUUAAGACGUCCAAUAGGAGAAUAAUCUUCGACGAUAAUUCUUUAACGUCUGAAUAAAAUGAAAAGAAAAAGAUUAAAAUAGAACGUAGAAAAUUCCCGAUGAGAAAUGAUAUAAUUUUCUUCAAGAAAUAAGACGUUGAAGACGCGCGCACGUUAGAUGAAUAAAGUGUGGUCCGAUGAUGCGGCAGAAGCAGUGGCAGUCGUUCCGGAGACGGUAGUGGCUACCGACGACUCCUCUCCUUCAGGGGUGGAUGACUCCGGGGUCGGCUCGCUCGGUGAAGAAGAGGGAGGGAAAGUAGAGCGAGGAUCCAAGGUGAAGUUAGAAGACAGCAACCACCAGGCCUGGCGGAGGAAGGCAACGCGUGCACGUUCUGGGCGGAGUAGGAGAACGAUCCGUAGGGCCAGGAGUCAUCGAGUGACACACGCACGACCGCCACGCUUCGUGGUCACGGUCAAAGCGCACGCGGAACACCACGAAGAGCUAGAUCCUACUUUCGCGAAAUACGAAAAAUCUAGAUUUUAUUCCCUCUGGUAAUGAAACGGUAGAGAAGAAGAAGAAUAGGGCUGUGAACGGGACCUCGGAUGAAGAAGGAAUGAAGGAUAUUCAUCGAUCGGGAACAUUGCUUAUACGAGAAGGUUUUUCAAGAUGUGUGUGGUAAACAAAAAGAUGUAAAUAAAUAUAUCCCGAUAGAAGCUUACGUUAUCUCAAAUAGUACGAAAGUAAAUAGGAAUGAAAAAGGGAGAGAGGGGGAAAAGUCUCUCAUUAGCAAGGUUAUUCGAGAGGACACUGACGUUCGCGUUUCAUAAAACGAACAACGCUCACGCACCAGGACGCACAUGAGUAUAACAGGGAGGACUGUGAUUUUUCCUCGCGUGGCCCCACGCGGGCCACGACGUAUGUACGCCCACUGACAACAACCAUGAAGCAGAGAGAGAGAGAGAGAAGAAGAAGAAGAAGAAAAAGAAGGAGAAAAAGAAUAAUAAGAAGAAGACGACAACGAAGACGACGACGCAUCGUACGCGUAAUAUAAAAGGGCUCAAAUUAUCCAGGAAGCGAGGAGAACCCGGACGAGGAGCUAUGCUCGAGCGUAAAGAAGGUCUUUUCUCGAGUGUAGGCCAUUGCAUCAAAGAGGGGACCUUCUUCGUGCGAGCGAAAGAGAGAGAAGGAGGAGAGAGAGAGAGAGAGAGAGAGAGAGAGAGGGUGUUCGAGCUACGUACCUAUAUUGCCGUAAUUUUCACAGCGAGAGAGGAGAAAGAGGAAGGGCUUCCCUCGAACGGUGCUACGAUCUCUGAUGCAACGUAUAAUCAAACGAACAGCGAUGUGUUCAGGUCAGUGGCUGAUAGCGUCGAAUCUUUUUUAUUUUAUAUAUAUAUAUGUGUGU